GUUGCACCCAAACCCAAAGGUCACGCCCUGACCCGUGGUGUGAUUUUGUCUGGGUCGCAGACAGAACCAGAACCUUGUCGCCUUUCUCUGCUGCUGCUGUGCCUCUGAAAGUGAAUUCAAGGUCCGACAUGU
rnacentral:snoRNA from 1 species